CGGGUGAUCCCCUUGGGGUCAUAAUUGGGAAGACGGGUGCAAAUCCCGCGCGGUCCCGCCGCUGUAAGAGUGUAGCCACAUGCAAAAUGCCACUGGGACGGCAAGUCCCGGGAAGGGGCGUGCGGCGUUUGAAGCUCGAGCCAGAAUACCAGCCCGCAAAAAU
rnacentral:ncRNA from 1 species